GGGUUGUGAGGUUAAGCGACUAAGCGUACACGGUGGAUGCCCUGGCAGUCAGAGGCGAUGAAGGACGUGCUAAUCUGCGAUAAGCGUCGGUAAGGUGAUAUGAACCGUUAUAACCGGCGAUUUCCGAAUGGGGAAACCCAGUGUGUUUCGACACACUAUCAUUAACUGAAUCCAUAGGUUAAUGAGGCGAACCGGGGGAACUGAAACAUCUAAGUACCCCGAGGAAAAGAAAUCAACCGAGAUUCCCCCAGUAGCGGCGAGCGAACGGGGAGCAGCCCAGAGCCUGAAUCAGUGUGUGUGUUAGUGGAAGCGUCUGGAAAGGCGCGCGAUACAGGGUGACAGCCCCGUACACAAAAAUGCACAUGCUGUGAGCUCGAUGAGUAGGGCGGGACACGUGGUAUCCUGUCUGAAUAUGGGGGGACCAUCCUCCAAGGCUAAAUACUCCUGACUGACCGAUAGUGAACCAGUACCGUGAGGGAAAGGCGAAAAGAACCCCGGCGAGGGGAGUGAAAAAGAACCUGAAACCGUGUACGUACAAGCAGUGGGAGCCUCUUUAUGGGGUGACUGCGUACCUUUUGUAUAAUGGGUCAGCGACUUAUAUUCUGUAGCAAGGUUAACCGAAUAGGGGAGCCGAAGGGAAACCGAGUCUUAACUGGGCGUUAAGUUGCAGGGUAUAGACCCGAAACCCGGUGAUCUAGCCAUGGGCAGGUUGAAGGUUGGGUAACACUAACUGGAGGACCGAACCGACUAAUGUUGAAAAAUUAGCGGAUGACUUGUGGCUGGGGGUGAAAGGCCAAUCAAACCGGGAGAUAGCUGGUUCUCCCCGAAAGCUAUUUAGGUAGCGCCUCGUGAAUUCAUCUCCGGGGGUAGAGCACUGUUUCGGCAAGGGGGUCAUCCCGACUUACCAACCCGAUGCAAACUGCGAAUACCGGAGAAUGUUAUCACGGGAGACACACGGCGGGUGCUAACGUCCGUCGUGAAGAGGGAAACAACCCAGACCGCCAGCUAAGGUCCCAAAGUCAUGGUUAAGUGGGAAACGAUGUGGGAAGGCCCAGACAGCCAGGAUGUUGGCUUAGAAGCAGCCAUCAUUUAAAGAAAGCGUAAUAGCUCACUGGUCGAGUCGGCCUGCGCGGAAGAUGUAACGGGGCUAAACCAUGCACCGAAGCUGCGGCAGCGACACUAUGUGUUGUUGGGUAGGGGAGCGUUCUGUAAGCCUGUGAAGGUGUACUGUGAGGUAUGCUGGAGGUAUCAGAAGUGCGAAUGCUGACAUAAGUAACGAUAAAGCGGGUGAAAAGCCCGCUCGCCGGAAGACCAAGGGUUCCUGUCCAACGUUAAUCGGGGCAGGGUGAGUCGACCCCUAAGGCGAGGCCGAAAGGCGUAGUCGAUGGGAAACAGGUUAAUAUUCCUGUACUUGGUGUUACUGCGAAGGGGGGACGGAGAAGGCUAUGUUGGCCGGGCGACGGUUGUCCCGGUUUAAGCGUGUAGGCUGGUUUUCCAGGCAAAUCCGGAAAAUCAAGGCUGAGGCGUGAUGACGAGGCACUACGGUGCUGAAGCAACAAAUGCCCUGCUUCCAGGAAAAGCCUCUAAGCAUCAGGUAACAUCAAAUCGUACCCCAAACCGACACAGGUGGUCAGGUAGAGAAUACCAAGGCGCUUGAGAGAACUCGGGUGAAGGAACUAGGCAAAAUGGUGCCGUAACUUCGGGAGAAGGCACGCUGAUAUGUAGGUGAAGUCCCUCGCGGAUGGAGCUGAAAUCAGUCGAAGAUACCAGCUGGCUGCAACUGUUUAUUAAAAACACAGCACUGUGCAAACACGAAAGUGGACGUAUACGGUGUGACGCCUGCCCGGUGCCGGAAGGUUAAUUGAUGGGGUCAGCGCAAGCGAAGCUCUUGAUCGAAGCCCCGGUAAACGGCGGCCGUAACUAUAACGGUCCUAAGGUAGCGAAAUUCCUUGUCGGGUAAGUUCCGACCUGCACGAAUGGCGUAAUGAUGGCCAGGCUGUCUCCACCCGAGACUCAGUGAAAUUGAACUCGCUGUGAAGAUGCAGUGUACCCGCGGCAAGACGGAAAGACCCCGUGAACCUUUACUAUAGCUUGACACUGAACAUUGAGCCUUGAUGUGUAGGAUAGGUGGGAGGCUUGGAAGUGUGGACGCCAGUCUGCAUGGAGCCGACCUUGAAAUACCACCCUUUAAUGUUUGAUGUUCUAACGUUGACCCGUAAUCCGGGUUGCGGACAGUGUCUGGUGGGUAGUUUGACUGGGGCGGUCUCCUCCUAAAGAGUAACGGAGGAGCACGAAGGUUGGCUAAUCCUGGUCGGACAUCAGGAGGUUAGUGCAAUGGCAUAAGCCAGCUUGACUGCGAGCGUGACGGCGCGAGCAGGUGCGAAAGCAGGUCAUAGUGAUCCGGUGGUUCUGAAUGGAAGGGCCAUCGCUCAACGGAUAAAAGGUACUCCGGGGAUAACAGGCUGAUACCGCCCAAGAGUUCAUAUCGACGGCGGUGUUUGGCACCUCGAUGUCGGCUCAUCACAUCCUGGGGCUGAAGUAGGUCCCAAGGGUAUGGCUGUUCGCCAUUUAAAGUGGUACGCGAGCUGGGUUUAGAACGUCGUGAGACAGUUCGGUCCCUAUCUGCCGUGGGCGCUGGAGAACUGAGGGGGGCUGCUCCUAGUACGAGAGGACCGGAGUGGACGCAUCACUGGUGUUCGGGUUGUCAUGCCAAUGGCACUGCCCGGUAGCUAAAUGCGGAAGAGAUAAGUGCUGAAAGCAUCUAAGCACGAAACUUGCCCCGAGAUGAGUUCUCCCUGACUCCUUGAGAGUCCUGAAGGAACGUUGAAGACGACGACGUUGAUAGGCCGGGUGUGUAAGCGCAGCGAUGCGUUGAGCUAACCGGUACUAAUGAACCGUGAGGCUUAACCUUACAACGCCGAAG
rnacentral:rRNA from 1 species